GACGAACGCUGGCGGCGUGCUUAACACAUGCAAGUCGAACGGUGAAGCGCCUUCCUUUUUGGUGGGUGUGGAUGAGUGGCGAACGGGUGAGUAACACGUGAGUAACCUGCCCCCUUCUUCUGGAUAACCGCAUGAAAGGGUGGCUAAUACGGGAUAUUCUGGGUCUGUCGCAUGAUGGGUCUGGGAAAGAUAUUGUUUCGGUGGGGGAUGGGCUCGCGGCCUAUCAGCUUGUUGGUGGGGUGAUGGCCUACCAAGGCGGUGACGGGUAGCCGGCAUGGGAGGGUGGACGGUCACACUGGGACUGAGGCACGGCCCAGACUCCUACGGGAGGCAGCAGUGAGGAAUAUUGCACGAUGGGCGCAAGCCUGAUGCAGCGACGCCGCGUGAGGGAUGGAGGCCUUCGGGUUGUGAACCUCUUUCGCCAGUGAAGCAGGCCUGCCUCGUUUGUGGGUGGGUUGACGGUAGCUGGAUAAGAAGCGCCGGCUAACUACGUG
rnacentral:rRNA from 1 species